AUACGUAGGGUGCGAGCGUUGUCCGGAAUUACUGGGCGUAAAGAGCUCGUAGGUGGUUUGUCGCGUCGUCUGUGAAAUUCCGGGGCUUAACUCCGGGCGUGCAGGCGAUACGGGCAUAACUUGAGUACUGUAGGGGAGACUGGAAUUCCUGGUGUAGCGGUGAAAUGCGCAGAUAUCAGGAGGAACACCGGUGGCGAAGGGGGGUCUCUGGGCAGUAACUGACGCUGAGGAGCGAAAGCAUGGGUAGCGAACAGGAUUAGAUACCCUGGUAGUCCAUGCCGUAAACGGUGGGCGCUAGGUGUAGGGGUCUUCCACGACUUCUGUGCCGUAGCUAACGCAUUAAGCGCCCCGCCUGGGGAGUACGGCCGCAAGGCUAAAACUCAAAGGAAUUGACGGGA
rnacentral:rRNA from 1 species